CAGGUGUAUUAGUCAGCUUUUUCAUCACAAUUUAAACAAUAGAACACACAAUUUAAAGCAAGAGAGUUUAAUUUGCCUCACAGUUUCAGGGAAUUCAGUUCAUGGUUAGCUGACACCAAAGCAGAAACGCCGUGGUAAGAGGUGUGGUAGAACAAAGUUUCUCACUGAAUGGUGACCAGGAAGCAACUAGGAGAGCCACACCAGAGAGGGAGGAAUAGAGAACCGGAUCUAGACCUCAGGUAACACUGCCAUGGUUCACCCAGGUACACCCAGGCUCAUGUUCCACCACUGUCCUGAGGACUCCCAAGCCAAUCAAGUUGACACAAUCAAGCUUGUCCAUCACAACAGUUUGGUAAGAUGUCUGUAAUUCACCCUGAAGAGCUGGUACUAGAUUGCAAGGUGCCUUCACAUCUACUCAGAACAAUGUGUAACUACUGUGGACUGCUAUUGGAUACAGUAGGUAAUUAUAAUAAGUACCAGGAAAGAAAUCAACACUGUUGUGAUAAAAGGCAACCAGG
rnacentral:lncRNA from 1 species